GAUGGAAAUGUCUCUUCUCGUGUGAGUAGUGAGUCGUACGUCUUUCCCAUCAAGUGGUGUCUACUACAAGGACCGUUGAUCUGGAGGAAGCUUACUUACCUGACUUACCAUGUUGUACUCAUCGGUAGAGGCUCCCCCUUCAUUAAUGCUCUUCUCAGAAGUGACUUCAUCUUCAGAUAAAGGUAAAGGGAAGAUGGAAUAGCAGAGGCUGGAGGGCAAUGCAACCAGAUGUGUGUGAGAAGGAACUUGGAAUAAAGACCCUUGGAGGCUAGCAAGUCUAAAGACUUAUUAUUUCUUAUGGUGUUACUUUCCGCACAUUUAGAUGUUUAAGCGUCUUGAAUUAUAAAAGUUAUGCUUAGAUUA